ensembl:lncRNA
UUUCUUUCUUUUUUUUUUUUUUUUUUUUUUGUAUUAUUAUUUUUAUGGCCUGUACCUGCGCAUAUGAAAUUUUCCAGGCUAGGGGUCAAAUCGGAGCUGCAGCUGCCAGCCUACACCCAGCCAUAGCGACUCGAUCUGAGCCGUGUCUGUGACCUACACCACAGCUCACAGCAAUGCCAGAUCCUUAACCCACUGAGCGAGGCCAGGGAUCAAACCUGAAUCCUCAUGGAUCCUAGUCAGGUUCGGGAGCCAUAUUGGGAACUCCAAUGAGGCCUUCUUGAUGAGGGCCCGUCUGCUGUCCUCUGAUAACCUCUCCUUGGUGUGUGCACAGAGAAGAGAGCCCUGGUAUCUUCUUUAAAAGACAUUAAUCCCAUUAGAUUAGGUAGGGUCCCAUCAAGCUAAUCACCUGAGCCUCCCCCACCCCAACCUCCAAGUACCAUCACAGCAUGGAUUAGGAUUUCAACAUAUGAAUUUUAGGAGGUCACAGCAUUCAGUCCAGAGUACCUCCCCCUGACUCCUGCUCCUACUCAUGCCUCCAGCUUGUUCCGUGGAUAUGGGAUAUACUUUUCCCUCCUUCAACUUUUAUUUUUUUAAAUUUUACAACUUCCCUCUUUCCUUCCACCCACCAAGUUGACCUGCUUUCUUCUCUCCCAUCUCACACUUUGCUUCCACUCUCUUCCAUGAUUGAGCCAUCUUCCCAGCAAAUAAAGGUUUUGCAGAGUUUUUCUUGGUUUUUUUUUUUUGUGUGUGUGUGUGUGUUUGUUUGUUUGUUGGCCAUGCCUGCAACAUGCAAAAGUUCUUAGGCCAGGGUUUGAACCUGCGCCACAGCAACAACCUGAGUGCUAGCAGUGCCAACACCAGGUCCUUAACCCACUGAGCUACCAGGGAACUCAAAUAAAGGGUUUUUUUUCAAAAGACAUUUCACAAAAGAUACCUAAAUGGCCAACAAGCCCGUGAAAAAUGCUCAACAUUAUUAAUCAUGAGACAAUCCCAGACCCUUUUAAUUGGGUUGACAACAUCAAGUGUUGACAAGGAUAUGGAACAACUAGAACUUUCAUAUGUGUGGAAAUGCAAAAUGAUUCAAUAACUGGAAAACAGUUUGCAAGUCCCUUAUAAAGGUAAAGAGAUACCAUAUGACUCAGCAAUUCCCCAAGCGGACAUUUUCCCAAGAGAUGACAGUGGGUUUGAAUCCAGACCCUUUUACUUUCCAAAUGUGUAAUCUUGAGCAAAUGAUUCAGCCCUUCGGAACAUCACCUUAUUCAUCCGUGACAUGGGGAUGACAAUGGACUUCAUUCAUUCAAUGAAUAUGUACUGAUGGUGCACAAUACAUAUGGGCUUACAAUAGUGAAUAAGACAGAUAUGGUUAUCCUCGAAGAGGCUCACAAUUUGGGGAAGGAUGUAGGCAUUAAACAAACAAGCAGACAAACAAAAACAUAAUUACGGAUGGUGAUGCGUGCUAGGAAGGAAAAUAACAGGAGCUGGCAGAGGGGAGCACACGGGGUGACAAAUUCAGACUGAGUGAGAGAUGUCUCUUCUGGGAAAUGGCUCCUAAGUGAAAAGGACAAAAGGGCCUGUAGAAAGGUCUCAAGGCCACAGAAUCUCAGCAUGUCUGAGGAGGUAAAAGCCCAGCGCACUGGAGUCCUGGAGGAGACAGCAGCAAGGACCAGGUCACACCUACCCUGUAGAUGGACAGGUUCGGAUAUUUUCUUAAAUGCGGUGGGGAGUAUCCUAAUUUGGGUUCCCCCCAGAGUAGAGGUGGGUCCAUACACAGAGGGCAGGGAGAGACCAAAGAGAGAGGCAGUCACUCCAGGCUGGUAGGUGGCAGUUUUAAUAAGCAAGGAAACCCACUUCCAAGGCUUGUCUUGCAGACACAAUACGGGGAGAUCGCCACUCCGACCUGACAGAUCUGAAAGGUUACAGAGGACAAAACUGGGCUCGGCCAACCUACGGUCUUACCACACCUUACUCUCUCCAGGCCGUGUCCUUGAAAAUGGCCCUCACUGUGGGAACAGUGGACAGAACAUACAUUCUGAGGACAGGCAUGGGGGAGAGGGGGCUUUGAGUGCUGGGGGGCACAUUGAAGGUCAAUGGGUGGUCUUGUCCUUUCAAUGACCUCCUCCCACAGCAGACCAUGAGACAAAGAUGUGAGUGCCAGUAAAUUAUUUGGGAAGGUGGCCUUGGGAAGCACUGGUAGAGGAGAGGGGAAGGCAAAGGAAGGAGUGUGUCACCGAGCAGACUGCCACUGGGGCAACAGAGCCCAAAUCCUUGCUCCAGGUAACCCCAACCAAGGGGUGAGGGAUCUCAGGUAUUUAUUCCCUCACUGUCACCAGUCAUCAGUUGCGGCAGGCUGGGCAUGCUGGGAGAGAAGGCAGAGGUGUCGCCUCCUGACACUUCUAGCCUGCCCUACACAGAGCCAGAUAAAGCCCUUGGCUGCAAAUCUUAGGUGCAGCUGUUGAAAGUUCUCAGGUCUGCAGGGCCAAAAAGGAGCAUGGAGGUUCCUGGAAUUCCACAUGAUGUCCCAACCCAAUUUUGCAAGCGAAUUCCAGAAAUCGCCUUUUGUUCUGCUGCACCAGGGCCAGAUCUUUGUCCUCCUUGCUGUGCCAGAAGCUGAGUAUUGGAGCGAUGUGGUCACUUUCAGCUGGUGACCUGGUUUUAAUUCAGUAUUUUCAAAUGGCUCAGAGUGUUCGUUUUAACACCUGGUCCAAAAAUCAACAUGAGGAGCACAUGCUUGGGAUUUGUCCCAAAAGAUUUGAAUCAGUCACUCGUGUAUUCAACAGACAUCGGCGUUGAAUGUUUUCAGGGAAACUGGUAGAGAAAGAAGAGCUUUCUCAAGGAGCUAGAUCAUAUGGGUAGAGAUGAACCUGAUUACAGUCAAGAAAGAAACGACACUGAAGGGGUCAGAAAAGGGAUGUGAUCCUGUCCGCAAGUGCCUUUACAGGGAAUACAGGGCCAUGGAAUGAUGCAAUAGACUUAGAGAUGGAGAAGCAUGCAGAGUUACCUGAACAGGAGUGCAAAUUGGUGCAGCCACUUUGGAAAACUGUUCAACAAUAUCUAUGAGGACUAAACAUACAUAUACACUCUAAUCCAGCAAUUCCAUUCCUAGGCAUAUUCCAAAGAGAAAUGCAUUCCUUUGUUCACAAAAGAUGUGUGCUGGGGUAUUCAAGGUUGUACUAUUCAUAACAGCAAAAAAUCCAAACAAAACACAGAAACCAGAGACAACCCACCAAUGGUAGGAUGAAUGAACAAAUUGUGAUAUAAUUUACACAAUGGAGUAUUGUACUUUGUCUAGAAAUGUGAGCAAAUAGUUUACAACAACAUGUGAUAAUGGACACAUCUCAUACAAAAUCAUAAUUCUAAUAAUAAUACUUUGCAUUUGGACAUCCUAUUAAAUAAUUCCUUUCUUCAAGAAAUAUCAAGUAGUAAUUCCCAGAACUGUCCCAGACCCUGUCCUAUGUGCUGGAGAUACAGACAGUAUAUGAGAUCUUGAAAAAUCUUUGCCAGCAUGGAUCUUACAGUCUAGUGAGGGGAACAGACAGCAAACAGGUAGUAUAUCUGGAACUUCUGAACGUGUUUUAGUUUGGGUUUGGCUUUUUAAUGGAAUUAAAUCACUUAAUGACCAGGAUUGACCUAAAUGAACACUAUGCUCUAAAGCUGGAGUUAAUGAACCAUUGUGGGGAGAAGUGACCCUUGAUGGACAUCAAGGGACCAACAAAUUUCCCAGAAUUAUAUGUAAAAUAUUGUAUGUCUGGGGAUUUUUCUGGAGAGAUGGUUCAAGGCAUUCUCAAAUUGUUAAAACGUCACUGACCCCAUGGGAGUUCAGAAUUUCCAGAUUCUCCCCACCAUUACUUAAGGUUACAAACAUUUUUCAGAGCACUUGCCUAUAGUUAUGGGAUCAACUGUAUUUUGCUCGAUUUGCUUAAUGUUAUUUCUCUGAACCAGCAAAUGUACAGCCACAUCCCCUGUGUCAUUUGUAAAUGCUACAAAAGAUAGCACUGCUUCGCAUUACGACCGCUUCCCGUAACCACUCCACAAGCAUCAAACACACGGUUGUUUCUCAUUUCUUACCUUCCCAUAAAGGCUGCUGUGAGUGCUUUGGAAAGAUUGUUUGUUCCUUCUAAGGGGUUGUCUUGGAGUGUUUUCAAAAACUGCAAGCGGGUCAAAUGGUACCAAUAGUUUAAUACUCCAGGAUGGCUAUUGACCACAUUUUCAAUACAACAAGAAUGGCUAUUAAACACCUACAGGAUAUGAAAAAAGGGAACAUUUUAGCUUUCAUUCAUCAUUGCUCUUCCUCUCUGUCCCCCUCCCCAUAAUAGUAGUCAACUAUCCGUGAUAAAAUAGGAGAGUGAAACAUAUUUAUUACAAUAAUGGAAAAAUACCUAUUUUCUGGCAGGAUAUUUCAUGCUUCUAUGCCCUUGGAAGUUCCUUUCAAAUUUUUUCCUGUCAUUCACCAUAACCAAUGUGUCAGUUUCAGGGUAAACAGGCAAGAUGGGGGUGGGGGUGGGGGUGGGGUGAAGGGUGGAAUGUUGCCAUGGUAACAAAGGAUUUCAGUAAUGAGUAUCCAUGGUGAUUGUUGCUAAAUUCUGAGAGAUUUUAAACGCUUUAUUUAAAAUACAUAACAACUGUGCAGCUGCUGAGAAUGCUAUGAAAGAGAGGAAUAGGCUGUUUGUGCUUUUAUGGAUACGUGCCUGGUGUGGUUCAGAAGGAAAGAGAUAAGGCAGCUUAAGGACAGAUGCACUCCCUGUGUGGUGCUAUUUAGCAGUUAUCAAGGACUGCUUUCCCUCUAACAUAGAAUGUUGUCACACCUCCAGGUCCCAAUGUUACCUCAGUCGCCCACUCAACAGGGUAACACCUGAGAUAAACUCAGGCGGAAACCAGUCCCCACCCUGCUCCCUCCCUGGGCACCCUGCCCCCAUCACUGCCUCAGAAUAGAAACACCGGAACUCUGAGCAGAAGUGAGAGUUCCCAAUGGAUGAACCUCAAUGGAAGUUUAAAAUGGGUGCUGAGGAUUGUAAAGCAGGGACCAUUUUUUCUCACCCUCAAAUUCACAUGGAAUAUGAGUUUGAGAAAUAGGGCUAGAAUCCAGGUUGUCAAAUUCAUGAUCCAAAGUUCACCUGUUCUCCUUUCGUAUUAGAAUGAACUUUGACUAUGAACAAAAAACCCAACACAACAGGAACUUUAACAAGAGGGAAGCUCAUUUCCCUUUUACAAAUUAAUCAAGCAAGCAAUAAAUCCAGAGGCUCAGGGAGCCAGUCUCCCCUUGUUCCUCUACUAGACUCCAUGCUCAUGGUCGCUUCAUUGUCCAUUAUGGCUGCCUAAUUCCAGCCAUCACAUCCAAAUUCCAUCCAGCAGAAAAGAGGACAAGAUGAAGAGAUCAAAGCAAAGGGUCCAAACUGUUGUCUUUUUAAGAACGCUCCUGGAAGCUGCUACCUGAUCCUUUUACAUCAACUACAGGGCAUCAUCUCACUGCAGAGGAGGGAGGGAAAGACAGAAAAAGAUAGAAGCACUCACUGUUCAGAUUCAUCUAAAGUAAGGACUGUGUGGGAGUUCCCGUCAUGGCCAAGUGGUUAACGAAUCCCUCUAGGAACCAUGAGGUUGCAGCUUUGAUCCCUGGCCUUGCUCAGUGAGUUAAGGAUCCGUCGUUACCGUGAGCUGUGGUGUAGGUCACAGACGUGGCUUGGAUCCCGUGUUGCUGUGGCUCUGGCGUAGGCCAGGG